CUUGCCGGUAGAGGCAUUGCAGGUGUGGUUGCUGUGUCACCUAUGUGUCAGUAGGUGGCAGAGAGGAGAGAGGCUGUGUCUAUGCUCCAUGUUCUGACCUGUGAACAUCUGAAUCAUCAGUAACUUAACAUU